ACCGACGACCACUACACGUCUAGUGAUUAUGUUGUGUUAUUACAGACACGCGUAGAUAAAGAUAUAAAGUUUUACAGGAACACUGUAUGAUUUGUCGUGGAGCCGGAUGACUUAUGGCCUGUCGAAUUUAUGGAUAUUUCUAAAUUCCAAUGGAUGAUAAAUUCAAGCGACUUAUACUUCUGCGUUUCUGACGGAGACACGUGUGAAGCAGGAAGAGAUCGAAGAUUGCCGAAAACUCCUUCGCCGGAUGACUAAUCGCGUGAUAAACGCGUUAAAACUGCGGCAAAUAUUAUGAACCUUUGGUGAUUUGGCCGAGGAAUCGAAGGUAACGAAACCCGAAGCUAGGUGAAAUUGUGGUGGGCGGCUUCUGCUUGAUGCUUGAAUUCUAAAUUAAACAAAAUAAGUGUGAUAUUUCAUGUAGUUGUUGGAAAUAUUUUAAAAUUAGAAUCUAAGUUCAUAUAAGCUGACCUACGAGUUGGUGAAUAUCAACGUAUAAUACAUUGACCCUUGACCAUGAGUCAGAUUUUAUCUUCAAUUGUCGAGUUAUUUUCAUUGUCGUUUUCCGAGUCACGAGUCAUUAGCAACUGAAAGGUUUCUUUUCUUCUCUUCGUUUGGUUGUCAGUUCAUUUUACCGAAUUUUCCUUGUAGCUGAUAAUCUCAAUGUUUUUGAAUGCCUGUUAUAAGUAAAAUGGUAAAACCUAAAUAAUCUCAAGGCCUUCGCCCGCCAUACGUACAUGAAGCGUUCACGACCUCCACGCGAUAGAAGAAAACUUCAAAGGGUGAUUCAUUUCGAACUUGUUGUUCGUCUUUGUGGUCAAAGGAUUUUGGAAAGAACAAAAAUUAGGAGUUCGUUCGGAGAAGCGAACUAACUAUUUUCGAUCUGGGCUAUACAAGGAAGAAGUUGAUUAUGAUGGAAUGGAAGAAGCGUUAACAACCAGAGACUUGCACCUGCUAAAAGGCACUUAAUUUGUGAUGUGAUGUGAAAAACUAAUUGAUUUUUGUUCCAUUUUUGGUUUCUGAAUUAUCAUUCAGACGAGGAAUGAAAACUUUUAUUCGAUCCCACGUCAAGAAUUCCGCAAGCGGCGAGAAUAACCUUGAGCCAAAACGUUGCCGGGGCUCGUCCCAGAAUCCAAAUAUGCUCACUAAAUUGGUUUAACGACCGAUUUAUUUUUUAUGUAUAGCGAAUUUUAUACUUUAAAUUGCAAUAAAAUUGUAAUA
rnacentral:lncRNA from 1 species